AACGGCCACAUCACGGUGAAACAACCAUUCACGUAUGACCAUCGCAGUUAAGCAACGUCAAGCCUGGUCAGUACCUAGAUGGGUGACCGCUUAGGAAUACCAGGUGCUGCAAG